GACGAACGCUGGCGGCGCGCCUAACACAUGCAAGUCGAACGGGAUGCCCUGAACGGAGGCUUCGGCCAAAGGGAAGGAACAUCUAGUGGCGGACGGGUGAGUAACGCGUGAGUAACCUGCCCUUCUGAGGGGGAUAACGUCUGGAAACGGACGCUAAUACCGCAUAACAUAGAGAUACCGCAUGGUAUUUCUAUCAAAGGAGCAAUCCGCAGAGGGAUGGACUCGCGUCCAAUUAGCUAGUUGGUGGGGUAACGGCCCACCAAGGCGACGAUUGGUAGCCGGACUGAGAGGUUGAACGGCCACAUUGGGACUGAGACACGGCCCAGACUCCUACGGGAGGCAGCAGUGGGGAAUAUUGGGCAAUGGGGGAAACCCUGACCCAGCGACGCCGCGUGAGGGAAGAAGGUUUUCGGAUUGUAAACCUCUGUCCUCGGUGAAGAUAAUGACGGUAGCCGAGGAGGAAGCCACGGCUAACUACGUGCCAGCAGCCGCCGUAACAC
rnacentral:rRNA from 1 species